UACGUAGGUGGCAAGCGUUGUCCGGAAUUACUGGGCGUAAAGCGUGCGCAGGCGGUUUUGUAAGCCAGAUGUGAAAGCCCCGGGCUUAACCUGGGAAUGGCAUUUGGGACUGCAAGGCUGGAGUACGGCAGAGGGAGGUGGAAUUCCACGUGUAGCAGUGAAAUGCGUAGAGAUGUGGAGGAACACCGAUGGCGAAGGCAGCCUCCUGGGCUAGUACUGACGCUCAUGCACGAAAGCGUGGGGAGCAAACAGG
rnacentral:rRNA from 1 species